rnacentral:rRNA from 1 species
GACGAACGCUGGCGGCGUGCCUAAUACAUGCAAGUAGAACGCUGAAGGAGGAGCUUGCUUCUCUGGAUGAGUUGCGAACGGGUGAGUAACGCGUAGGUAACCUGCCUGGUAGCGGGGGAUAACUAUUGGAAACGAUAGCUAAUACCGCAUAAGAGUAGAUGUUGCAUGACAUUUGCUUAAAAGGUGCAAUUGCAUCACUACCAGAUGGACCUGCGUUGUAUUAGCUAGUUGGUGGGGUAACGGCUCACCAAGGCGACGAUACAUAGCCGACCUGAGAGGGUGAUCGGCCACACUGGGACUGAGACACGGCCCAGACUCCUACGGGAGGCAGCAGUAGGGAAUCUUCGGCAAUGGACGGAAGUCUGACCGAGCAACGCCGCGUGAGUGAAGAAGGGUUUCGGAUCGUAAAGCUCUGUUGUAAGAGAAGAACGAGUGUGAGAGUGGAAAGUUCACGCUGUGACGGUAGCUUACCAGAAAGGGACGGCUAACUACGUG